GUGUUUUCCUCUCGUCUCUUAGCUCUCAUGGCUGAUUACACUCAGUGAGUCCGGGGCAGGGAGGGCUGUCUGUUUGAGUCCAGUGCAGCACUCAUUAGUAGCUAAGCAUGGGCAACUUGUAGCAUGCCAGCCUCUAAACACAGGGCAACAGCAACACAGUGACAAUCUUGUCCACCACAAAGCAUGUCAGGACUCUAGGACCUCUCUCUUCCUUUUUUCCACACAUUACCUAGUGGUCCUGUACAGGGCCAAGUCAGUAGUUUUACCAUGGAUGUGGGAAAAAUCCACCUGAAUCUAAAGACAGUCCUUCUGACCAUGAUGAUGUUCAAAUGGGGAAUCCUCUGCACAGCCACAUCCGACAAAUGCUUGUCUGCACCCUGCCAGAAUGGAGCUUCUUGUGUGGAUACCAUGGAUGACUAUGCCUGUAUCUGUGCCAGAGAGGGGGUCCGAUACAUGGGCAAAAACUGUGAUCAGCUCUAUGAUGCCUGCUCCUUUGCUCCAUGUGAGAACUGCACUAGCAUCCCUGGAACCACAGAAUACCACUGCAUCUGCCUCGAGGGACUAACAGGUGAUAACUGCACAGAGGAGGUGGAUGAGUGUCAGAGCAACCCAUGCUCUGAGCCCCGAUCUCUUUGUGUGGACCAACUGAACGGAUACUUCUGCAGAUGUCCGGCAGGGUACGGAGGACGGGACUGCAGGACGCAUGUAACUGACUGCAUCGAUGAACCCUGCAGGAACAAUGGGACUUGUGUAUUACAACCAGAGGGCUUUGAAUGUCGCUGUGCACCAGGUUUUGAGGGAAAGACCUGUGAGGAAAAUGUGAAUGAAUGUUCAUCAGAGCCCUGUCAGAAUGGAGCUAUCUGUAUAGAUGGAGUGGCAGAGUUCCACUGUUUCUGUGUGCCGGGUUUUCAGGGAUAUAACUGUGAAAUUGACAUUAACGAGUGUGCUUCACGACCCUGUGAGAACAAUGCAACCUGCAUCAAUGAAAAGGACCACUAUGAGUGCGACUGCUUGAUGGGCUUUGCAGGAGUCAACUGUGAAACUGAAAUAGAUGAGUGCGAGUCCAGUCCCUGCCGUAACGGAGCUACCUGCCACGAUCUGAUUGGCGUGUAUUCCUGUGAGUGCCUGCCUGGGUUUGACGGCAUCGAAUGUGAGCUUGAUGUCGAUGAGUGUGCCAGUCAGCCCUGCCAGAAUGGAGCUGUCUGUCAUGACAUGGUGAACAGCUAUGAAUGCGACUGCAGCGAUACAGGAUUUGAGGGCGAUCAUUGUGAAGUGGACAUCCCUGAGUGUGCCUCUGAUCCCUGUCAGCAUGGUGCCACAUGUUUGGAGGGAGUGAACGGAUACUCCUGCCUCUGCUGGCCAGGUUAUGAAGGACCAAACUGUGAGACUGAUAUAGACGAGUGUGCUGAACAACCCUGUGAGAACGGUGGGGAGUGUUUUGAGCGUUCAGAUCCGUCUCACUGGGAGCUGGACUGGGAACUCAGCUUUGCAGAUGCAGCUGGAUAUAUCUGCCAGUGUCAGCCAGGGUUUGCAGGAGAGAACUGCUCUGUUAAUAUUGAUGAGUGUGAGUCUGAACCCUGCCAGAAUGGAGGUUCUUGUAAGGAUAAGAUCAAUGGCUAUGCCUGUACAUGCUCUGAUGGGUUUCUAGGUGAUCUGUGUGAAGUGAACAUAGAUGAAUGUGAGAGCCAGCCUUGUCAAAAUGGAGGCUGGUGUGAAGAUGGCAGGGCGUCCUACACCUGUCACUGUCCAGAAGCAGAGCCAGGUGAACUCCCUUGGGGAGGUGAUGUCUGUGAUGUGAAACUCUAUGGCUGUGUGGACCAUGAAUGCCAGAAUGGAGCCACCUGCCAUCCGUGGCUGGAGGGUGGAGAACAUGGUCAUACAUGCUUGUGCCCUCAUGGUUUCUAUGAUGAGCAUUGUUCCACGAGAACAACAUUCUCCUUCUCCACUCCUGGAUUUGUUCACAUCCAGGUUGUUCUAGAAGAAAGGACACGGAGGGAAGUUGAGCACCAUGUUCACCGUGGUUUUGGGGUACAGCUACGUUUCCGGACAACUAUACCCAAUAUACUGCUCUUCUUUAGGGGAGAUGUGGACAAUCACCUCCUCCUGGAGAUUGUGAACGGUGGUCUUCAUGCAAAAGCCUUUUCUGAGGAGUCUGAAAUGGAUGUAACAUUUCCCGGUCUGGUUAGUGAUGGAGACUGGCGAGAUGCUCAUGUAUUUAUAUAUAAUGAAGGUCUGGUAUUGAUUCUGAAAGGGCCUGGCUGUGACAGGGACGGAUGCAGAGUUGUAGAUGGCGGUGCUGAUGAACCACCUUUUGAGCCCUCUGAAGCUUUCACUCAAGUUUAUGUAGGUGGAGCACCAGAGGAGCUUUUAGACUAUUCUCUAAGUGGUGCAGGCUUCAUUGGAUGCAUGGAAGACCUGAUGAUUGACUCCAAACCUAUCCUACCCCAAACACUACCUGAGGACCAAGGCCAUGAGCUGGGAUGCAGUAAGACUGAAUGGUGUAAGCCUGACCCCUGUUAUGGACAUGGACGCUGUGUGGACCUGUGGACUAGCUACCAGUGUGACUGCUACCGUCCCUUCCAUGGUGAAAGCUGCGCUGAUGAAUUCCCUUCAUGGACAUACAGCCACGAGGACACAGCGAGUUUUAGUGCUUAUGAUGUAGGUAAGGGCCACGGAAGCAACUUCAAUGUCUCCUUCUUCCUGAGGUCAUUAAGGCCAGAUGGGCUCCUGUUCCAGCUGAGGAGGCCUACAGAGGAAGAGGGGGGAGAAGUCUACUUCUCAGUCUACCUGGGGAUGGGGAGGGUGUUUGUCAGCUCUCUACCCAACAGUGCCUCACUGACAGCUCCCAUAUUUGUGACCACCGGUGAGAAGCAGCUUCUGCAGGUGGAAGUCCAACAUAGACAGGUGAUCUUUGAGCAUGCAGGCCUUCGCUAUGGAAUAGGUGAAAUCCCUGAAGUGAAUAUUAACAGUGGGGAUCAGGCCUAUGUAGGAGGUCUUCCUGGAGACUUGAACUCUGAUCUGUGGGGGGGGCAUUACAAAGGUUGCCUGCAGGACCUUCGCUUAGACUCAGUGCAUCUAGAUGUGGAUGCUUGGAACAGCUUGGAUAAGGAGGAAGUGUAUUUACCAGGGGAUGCUGAAAAUGUGAAGAAGGGCUGCAUCAGUGAUGAUACUUGCAAGAUGCAGCCUUGUCAAAAUGGAGGAGAGUGCACCAUCACGUUCAACGACUUUACAUGUUCUUGUCUGGAGGAAUACACUGGGAAGACCUGUGAAACACGUGUGUGGUGUGUCAGCGAUCCUUGUGUCAAUGGUGGCCAUUGUGUUGACCUUCCUGAUGGAUAUGAAUGUGUGCACAAUGCCACAUUUGAGAACAACCCUGUGCACUACAGUGCUGGAGGUUCCCUGUCUGAACCUAUCUCUAACAUAUACAUGGAACUGAGGACUCGUUCAGAGAAUGCUGUGCUCCUGAGAGCCUCUUGGGGCACUGACCUUCUGAUGGUGGGUCUGCUGGACUCUUCAGUCCGGGUAGAGAUCCACAUUGGCAACAGUGUUGAGACACUGAUAUUUACAGGAGUUCGUCGAGUGGCCGAUGGGAGUUGGCAUCGUGUAAACAUCUCAAUGGCUGAGAAGGAACGCAAAACCUCUGCCUGGGUCAUCACUGUGGAUGGAAUCACAGACACCAACAGCAUGCCAGAGCACACCGGAAGCCUUCAUUUUCUUAAUGAGAAGGGGGCCACGUUGGCCAUUGGAGAGAGCUUCGCUGGCUGCUUGGGUGCAGUAAGGGUUGGAGGAGUCUACCUGCCUUUUGUGGAUGACUACAAAGCCCCACAGCCAUCUCAGUUCCAUUUAGAUGGAAAAGCAACGAUUCGUUUAGGUUGUACCGGUGACCCUGUUUGUGAUUCAGAUCCUUGUCUGAAUGGAGCCACAUGUGAAGACCUCUUUAAUAAGUAUGGCUGUACCUGUGACUUGGGUUGGGAAGGAGAACAGUGUGAAACGGACACUGAUGACUGUGCGUCUCAGCCCUGUGUUCAUGGAAACUGCAAGGACUACUUAGCUGGUUUUGAGUGCCAUUGCCAACCCGGAUAUGCUGGCACGCUUUGUGAUGAGGAUAUUGAUGAAUGUGAGCAUCACGCCUGUGAACAUGGAGGCACCUGUCAGGACGGCCCCAACAUGUACACCUGUAUAUGUCCCAAGGACUACAGAGGGCCUCUCUGCCAGUGGGACUAUCCUCCAAUGCAAUGUGGUGAAGAUGUCCAGUGUGCAAAUGAGGGUAUCUGCAGUGAUGGGCUAUGGGGAGCUAACUGUACAUGCAUGCCAGGUUUUACAGGCAGCAGAUGUGAAAUGGAGAUAAAUGAGUGUGAAUCUAACCCCUGUCGAAAUGGUGGUUCCUGUUUGGAUCGAUUCAACAUGUUUGUGUGUGAAUGCCCACCUGGCUACAGUGGUCCAAUCUGUGACAUGAAUAAACAAGCCCAUCGACAGGGAAUCCCCUGGCUGAUGGUUGCCAUCCCACUACUGUGCUUCUGUGUGCUGAUAAUGAUCAUUGGUUUGACCUUCAUGGUGCUCACAGCGAGGAAGAAGCGGCAGUCGGAGGGCGCAUACAGUCCCAGUGCUCAGGAGCUGGCUGGGGCUCGGCUGGAGAUGGACAGCAUGCUCAAAGUCCCGCCAGAGGAAAGACUCAUCUGACAUAAAGGCUGAGAAAUUAAAGGUGUUGGACAGGAUCUGAGCACUGCAGGCAGUCUGUGAUAUGUUGGAGCUUGCAAGGCCACAAUACAGCAGUUAGGAUCAGAACAUACUCUACGAAACAACUAACCAGGAUAACGCAGACUGCAUCAGAAUAUCGGUUUGAGAGUGCAGUUUCACAACCGUGAAACUUCAGAUGGGCAAACUGACUUCUGGCUCCAGUCACUGCUGGAAUUAGAAACACAUCCUGCUUAACCUUCAGUUUAGUUGAACUUUGUAAAACUGGUCAAAGAUUGAAAAUAAUGGCCUUGCUCUUUGCAAGUAUGUAUUUGUACAUUUGGUGUGAAAGCAGGGUGAGGUUCCAGCACUUUCAGUUCAAUUCAAUUCAGUUUAUUUAUAUAGCGCCAAUUCACAACAAAAGUUAUCCCAUGACACUUUGCAAUUAGAGCAGGUCUGGACCAAACUCUUUAAUUAAAUUGUAAUACAGCACUUGGAGGUCAAUCCAAUCCAAUCCAAUCUUCUCAGGGUGACAUCAUAGAGACAGACAUCAUUUAUUGAAUCAAUAAGUUCCUCCCCCUUUAAAGGCAGUGUGCAGUGUAUUAUGGCACUACAGUUUGGAGCAGGUUUGACAGGAAAACUCAUCUAUGAGGAAAACUACAGCACCUUAAAAAGUCACUGAAAAAAAAAAAGAUAAAUUAUCUUAUGCAAGGGAUGCCACCCCUGCUUACCAUGAAAUGCAAAGAGGAAAGAGUAAGCCACUCAGUGGUAUUAGAUGGGACUCGUGGGGCAGCUUGGCUACUGAAAUCGAACAUGCAUGAACUGGUCCUUGAUGACUGGAUAAGUCGUGGCCACCUCAGUGUUUCUCACUCUGGAUUCUAUGGUGUGAUGAAUUCCAGUCAGUCUCAGCACCGCUGUGUUGAAGUGGAUCAUAUUUUAUUGACAGUGCAGAUGAACAGAAAUUAAAAGGAAGUUCUGGAAUUUGUUAACCUGGACGGUGUUCUCACAUUUUUCUCAGUUAUUUCUGUCGGUCCCUUUUCUAUAACAUUUUACUCACCUGUGUUUCAGAGAUUUUCUCCAAUGAGACCAAUGUUGUUCGAGCGUGAGCUUUAUACAGCUUUCCAAAAUGACCUGAGUGAACUGUAAAGUGGAUUCGCUCAGGCACAUAAUCAAGCCAGUCAGCAGGUGGUUCGGCCAUGCUGAUGAGAACAGUCCAAUCACUAGAGGGAUGUGUUCGGAAUCAAAGACAAGCAUUAAAGUUGAAGGUUUCUGCAAAGCUGCGGGAGGCUUUCAGAGUUGUUCUUGCUGGAUUUGUGGCCUGAUUAACUUGUUAGGGGACCCUGGGGGCAAAAGUUUGACCUUCCACCUGUUGCCCUCCAUGUAUUGGAUAUGUGUCCUGCACACAUAGCAGGCAUGGCGACCUUUUUUAUGCACUCAGAAAGAGCAACCCCUACUGCUCCACUGAAACUACCUGGUCCCAUGAUUUCUGGGAGUCAGACAUUGAUCUGUGGCAGUUUGAUUAAAGAUAAGAAAUUCAUUUAGGAAUCUGCACAAUACAAUUGUAGAAGAAAACACAAGUGUGUGUUA